ACAAUGUUCCGCUGUGAAAGAGAAUUCAUAAGAACAUUUG
rfam:Melissococcus plutonius ATCC 35311 DNA, complete genome.